AGAGUUUGAUCAUGGCUCAGGAUGAACGCUGGCGGCGUGCCUAAGGUAUGCAAGUCGAACGUCUAGCUUGCUAGGCGUGGCAAACGGCUGAGUAACGCGUUGGUACCCUCCCUCUAGUCAAGGAUAACCACCCGAAAGGGUGAACAAUCCUGGAUGUAGUCUUCGGAUUAAAGGCUUCGGCCGCUAGAGGACGGACCUGCGUCUUAUCAGGUAGUUGGUGAGGUAAAGGCUCACCAAGCCGAUGACGGGUAACUGGUCUGAGAGGAUGAUCAGUCAGACUGGGACUGCGACACGGCCCAGACUCCUACGGGUGGCAGCAAUUAGGAAUCUUGCGCAAUGGGGGAAACCCUGACGCAGCGACGCCGCGUGGUGGAUGAAGGCUCUAGGGUCGUAAACACCUUUUGUGAGUGAAUAAGUUCUGAAGGUAACUCACGAAUAAGCACCUUCUAACUACGUGCCAGAAGAAUCGGUGAUGCGUAGGGUGCAAGCGUUAUCCGGAUUUACUGGGCAUAAAGAGACGCGUAGGCGUUUUAGCAAGUCUAUGGUGCAAUCUUACAGCUUAACUGUAAAACUGCUAUAGAAACUGCUUUAAUCGAGUCAGAUAGGGGAGAGGAGAAUUCCUGGUGGAGCGGUGAAAUGCGUUGAUAUCAGGAGGAGUACCAAUGGCGAAGGCACCUCUCUGGAUCUCGACUGACGCUAAGGCUCGAAAGCGUGGGUAGCAAAACGGAUUAGAUACCCGUGUAGUCCACGCCGUAAACGAUCCCUACUAGAUGUUUGUCACUGGUACAAUCUUUAACUUCGGUUGAAUUUUGUCUAGAGAUGAGUGUCACAGCAAAUGCAUUAAGUAGGGCGCCUGGGGAGUACGGCCGCAAGGCUAAAACUCAAAGGAAUUGACGGGGACCCGCACAAGCAGUGGAGCGCUUGGUUUAAUUCGAUGCUAAGCGAAGAACCUUACCAGGGUUUGAACUGUAGCUGUGCCUCUUUGGAAACUUAGAGGGUCUUAGAGAAUGCUACAGAGGUGCUGCAUGGCUGUCGUCAGCUCGUGCCGUGAGGUGUACGGUUAAGUCCGGUAACGAGCGCAACCCCUAUCCCGUGUUAUAAUUUCUCGGGAGACUGCCAAGCCAAAACGUGGAGGAAGGUGGGGACGACGUCUAGUCAUCAUAGCCCUUACGUCCUGGGCUACACGAGCGCUACAAUGGUCGGUACAACGGGUAGCCAAACAGUAAUGUGGAGCUAAUCCCAUAAAACCGAUCCCAGUUCGGAUUGUCGGCUGAAAUUCGCCGGCAUGAAGUCGGAAUUGCUAGUAAUCGUGGAUCAGCAUGCCGCGGUGAAUACGUUCUCGGGUCUUGUACACACCGCCUGUCAAGUCACGGAAGUCGGCACUACCUGACGUCUCAUCAUAAGAUGGGCCUAAGGUAUGGUUGGCGACCAGGGCUAAGUCGUAACAAGGUAGCCGUA
rnacentral:rRNA from 1 species